rnacentral:rRNA from 1 species
CGGUACGUACUGGCAUUGUUGGUUUCUCCCUUCUGACGAACCAUGAUGUCAUCUAUUUGGUGUUGUGGGGAAUCAGGACUGUUACUUUGAAAAAAUUAGAGUGUUUAAAGCAGGCUCACGCUUGAAUACAUUAGCAUGGAAUAAUGAAAUAGGACGUUUGAUUCUAUUUUGUUGGUUUCUAGGAUCGACGUAAUGAUUAAUAGGGAUAGUUGGGGGCAUUAGUAUUCAAUUGUCAGAGGUGAAAUUCUUGGAUUUAUUGAAGACUAACUACUGCGAAAGCAUUUGCCAAGGAUGUUUUCAUUAAUCAAGAACGAAAGUUAGGGGAUCGAAGACGAUCAGAUACCGUCGUAGUCUUAACCAUAAACUAUGCCGACUAGGGAUCGGAUGAUGUUAAUUUUUUAAUGACUCAUUCGGCGCCUUACG